ensembl:miRNA
GUAGAGGAGAUGGCGCAGGGGACACAAGGUGAGCCUUGGGGGUCCUUGGACCCUUGGACAUGUGUCCUCUUCUCCCUCCUCCCAG